AGUGUUGGGGCAAGAUACAAGCCCUGAGCUCUUUAGUAUAAGCUCGAGCUCUCUCUCACACACACACACGUACAUACAUACAUAUGUACACACAAGCGGGAUUUUACAACUGAUUUUCUUUUUCAUUAAUCUCGUCUCGUUGAACUGAAAAAAAGGACACAGCCGCUUGUCGCUACCCUCUUUACAGUGUCCAGAAGGGGCAUGAUGCCGGGCUGGAUGCCGCCCAGCACCAAGACCACACCAACGCCCACGCCCACGAGCAACAGCAGCAGCCACAACUACGCCCGUCUGGAUCUCCCAAACCUUCUCUCUCUCCAUCCUUACCCCCACCCGCUCCGUCUGACGAGCCGCCCCACGCCCACAAUCGAGGCCUUCUAAACCACCCACCUCCCGUACAGGACGACUUGUAAGGAACGACGCCUGCUCUCCAAUUCGCCCACAUCACGCCCACGACGCCCACGUUUGAGCCUCGAUGUCAUCUCGGGUGGGGGCAACUCGAGAGUGAAAGUGUUUGUGCAAUUCCCUUAGACUAACAACAGAAUCGGAGAGAAACAUAUUACAGACUGUCAGGUCUUUUGAGGUGACGUUUAGUGGAGGAAUAGUUUCUUUUUCUUUUUUCUUCUUCUUCUUUCUUCUUUUGGUUAUAUACGGAACCAGGAAGAGAAGACAAGAAGAAAAGAAGGUGUGGCUUUUAUUAUUGAUUAAUGUUGUGGAAAUACAGUAGAAUACAGUAGUGAUUGAAGUGUGAAUACAGUUAUGUGUAGAACCGACAUCAUGUAAACUUCAUGAAUUUUGUGAAUGGAGAAAAGUAAAGUUUUGGUUAAUUAGAAGUGUCGUAGUAAAGGAAGUUUGCAAAUAUAGUGGGAAUAUAUAUACAUAUACAUAUGUUUUAUGUGAUUAUUUUUUUUCAUGUCGAAGAAUGAAAUAGAAUGUAAUGACUAAAAAUAGAAUGAUAGCAUUGAAAGAUUACAAAUAUAUAUAUUUCCCCCAAACAAAUCAAUAAAUAAAAAAUACAACAAUAAUAACAAAUGUGAAGUGAAGAAAUAUUCAAGAAAACAAAAACAAGGAAACGAACAAGAAAAAUAUA
rnacentral:misc_RNA from 1 species